GUGCCAGCAGCCGCGGUAAUACGUAGGUGGCGAGCGUUAUCCGGAUUUAUUGGGUUUAAAGGGUGCGUAGGCGGCUGAUUAAGUCAGCGGUGAAAGGUAGCAGCUUAACUGUUUUACAUGCCGUUGAUACUGGUUAGCUUGAGUUAACAGAAGGCAGAUAGAAUUUCUGGUGUAGCGGUGAAAUGCUUAGAUACCAGGAGGAAUACCGAUUGCGAAGGCAGUCUGCUGCAGUUACACUGACGCUGAGGCACGAAAGUGCGGGGAUCAAACAGGAUUAGAAACCCCUGUAGUCC
rnacentral:rRNA from 1 species